rnacentral:rRNA from 1 species
CACGUAGGCGGUCUGUUAUGUCGGAUGUGAAAGCCCUUGGCUCAACUGAGGAAGUGCACCCGAAACUGGCAGGCUAGAGUACGAAAGAGGAUCGCGGAAUUCCCGGUGUAGAGGUGAAAUUCGUAGAUAUCGGGAGGAACACCGGUGGCGAAGGCGGCGAUCUGGGUCGAUACUGACGCUGAGGUGCGAAAGCGUGGGGAGCAAACA